UACGGAGGGUGCAAGCGUUGUCCGGAUUUAUUGGGUUUAAAGGGUGCGUAGGUGGCUUGUUAAGUCCGGGGUGAAAGCCCACAGCUCAACUGUGGAACUGCCCUGGAUACUGGCGAGCUUGAGUCCAGACGAGGUUGGCGGAAUGGAAGCUGUAGCGGUGAAAUGCAUAGAUAGCUUCCAGAACCCCGAUUGCGUAGGCAGCUGACUAGGCUGGUACUGACACUGAGGCACGAAAGCAUGGGGAGCGAACAGG
rnacentral:rRNA from 1 species